rnacentral:rRNA from 1 species
GUGCUGAAUUAUUCGCCAAUGCGCGAAAGCGUGACGGUGCGACGCCGCGUGCGGGACGAAGGCCUUCGGGUUGUAAACCGCUGUCAGGGAUUAGAAAACCGAUAUGGUUAAUAGCCAUGUCAUUGAUCAGUCCCAAAGGAAGCACAGGCUAACCUCGUGCCAGCAGCCGCGGUAAUACGAGGUGUGCGAGCGUUGUUCGGAAUCACUGGGCAUAAAGGGUGCGUAGGCGGUACGCCAAGUCGGGAGUGAAAUCCCUCCGCUUAACGGAGGAACUGCUUUCGAUACUAGCGUGCUAGAGGAUAAAAGGGGAAAGCGGAAUUCUAGGUGUAGCGGUGAAAUGCGUAGAUAUCAGGAGGAACACCGAUGGCGAAAGCAGUCUCCUGGCCCAAUACUGACACUGAGGUACGAAAGCUAGGGUAGCAAACAGGAUUAGAAACCCCAGUAGUCC